GGAAGAGUGGCAGAGCGGCCGAAUGCGUCUGUUUCGAAAACAGAUUUACUCGCAAGGGUAACGGGGUUCGAAUCCCUCCUCUUCCG
rnacentral:tRNA from 1 species